AUUGAACGCUGGCGGCAGGCCUAACACAUGCAAGUCGAACGAGUGGCGGACGGGUGAGUAAUGUCUGGGAAACCGCCUGAUGGAGGGGGAUAACUACUGGAAACGGUAGCUAAUACCGCAUUCCCUCAGCUGCGCCCAGAUGGGAUUAGCUAGUUGGUGGGGUCACGGCUCACCAAGGCGACGAUCCCUAGCUGGUCUGAGAGGAUGACCGGCCACACUGGAACUGAGAGACGGUCCAGACUCCUCCGGGAGUCAGCAGUGGGGAAUAUUGCACAAUGGGCGCAAGCCUGAUUCAGCCAUGCCGCGUGUAUGAAGAAGGCCUUCGGGUUGUAAAGUACUUUCAGCGGGGAGGCGUUACCCGCAGAAGAAGCACCGGCUAACUCCGUGACAGCAGCCGCGGUAAUAC
rnacentral:rRNA from 1 species